GUAGGGACAAAUGAUAUUUAAUGAUUAUUAAAUUUGAGAAUUAAACUGAACUAAAUGCGAAAAUUAAUUGAUAGUUAAUGAAAUUUAAUUUGUUUCAAUAUAAAUUUCUCAUUUACAGAUACCUUGCAAACACAAAAAAUCGUUGUGGAAGAAAGAAAUUGAAUCUUCACGACUGAAACUAUAUGUUGGGAGUCAGGGUGAUUUAUUCAGUAGAUACCUUGCGAAUCCAAAAUAAUCGACAUUGAAAAAAAAUACCUGUGCAUUUUCAGAUGGAGAAGUACAUUUUUGUUACAAUGAAUGUGAGUACUCUCAUUUUCUUAGAUUCUUCAGUUUUCAUAAACUUUUACAUGAUGACAAAUUACGUAGGGACAAAUGAUUCAAUAUGAUUAUCAUGAGAGAAUUUAGUCUGAAAAUUAUUCUUUUUUAUUCUAUUGCUUUUAAUUUUAUCCAUGUAAUCUGAAGUUUUGCUUUUUUUUAGUGUUAGCGAAGAAAGUGUCCUUAUGAUCAUCAAUUAUACUUCAAUAUUAUUAUAUUCAAUUACUGAAUAAAUAUUUUAUAUAGUA